GAUGAACGCUGGCGGCGUGCCUAAUACAUGCAAGUCGAGCGAACGGACGAGAAGCUUGCGGCGCGGAUGUUAGCGGCGCACGGGUGAGUAACACGUGGAUAACCUACCUAUAAGACUGGGAUAACUUCGGGAAACCGGAGCUAACACCGGAGAAUAUUUUGAACCGCAGGGUGGAAAAGAGAAAGACGGUGGUGCUGGCACGUAUAGAUGGAUCCGCGCUGCAUGCGCGAGUUGGGAAGGUAACGGCGUACCAAGGCAACGAUGCAUAGCCGACCGGCGAGGGUGAUCGGCCACCCUGGAACUGAGACACGCUCCAUGCGCCUACGGGAGGCAGCAGUAGGGCAUCUUCCGCAGCGGGCGAGAGCAUGGCACAGCGACGCCACGUGAGAGAUAGCGAUCCUCCGAUCGUAAUGCUCUCUUACUGGGGAAGAACAGCUUUGUCCUUUACCGUGCACAUCUUGACGGUAACUAAUCAAAAAGCACCGGCUAACUACGUG
rnacentral:rRNA from 1 species